GGACAACUGUGAGUUCAAAGGCCACAGCUCUGUCUAUUGGGUUGGGAUCAUGGAGCAUGUGUUUCCCUGGUGCCCAGGGUCAGUCAGUCCAUCCCAGGGUCUGUCAGCCCAUCCUAAGAGUUUGGAAACCCAAAAAUGGCACCACUGAGAACUACAGCCUUCAAAGGGCUUAAGUGAACCAGUAAAUCUGCUGCCCAGAGACAACUCAUCCUUGCCCUGUUUAUCACAGAUGAACACAUCCUGCAGCACAAGUAGGAAGAGGAAGACUGAAGUCAGUAAAUCACUUGGAAAAUCUCUGAGUGGGGUAUGUGGCACAGCUCCCUCUUUAGCAAAUGCCAACGGGUCUAACAUUCAUUUUGUCCAAUCCCCCAAUGUAUUAAUUGCUCUCUUAGUGAAGACACUGCUGGCAAUCCCAGUACAAAUGCAGAAGAGUGAAAAAGAAGUGCCUAAAUAAUCAGUUUGCACAGUGAAUUAUUUAGGAAAGGUGUGACCUCAUGAUUCUCAUUCUGGAUUACAGUUUCAGUGCUCCAACCCAGGUAAAUAGGAUACCUUGGUAAGGCUCUAUCUACAGAAGGACAAGAGGAUUUACUGGUGUGGGACAAGCAGUGGAACUCAUUUUUCUUCCAAGAUUUUCCUGAUAAACAUUCAGCCUUUCAUUAUAAAGCCUGAAUUUUCCUACAAAACUUUUUUCUAUACUUCUGGACUGAAAAAUCCAAAAAUUACUGGAUGAUCGGGUGCCUUAGAAUAUGGAUUGCUGUUAUAAAAGACUCAGGUAUAAGAGAGUGAAUGUGGAAAUUUUGACUCAUAUUACUAAAAAGAUACUAUGGGUAGUAUAGAACAUAAAGAGUUGGUUGAGAUAACCAAAUGUCACUGUACAGAGAAAAGUUUUUAAGAAACUUCCUGUAGUUACUAUAUGGCAUAAGGUGAUUGUGCAGCAAACAUUUAAAAAAAAUACUCCAGGCUAAUAAAAAUAAACAAAAAAUAAGAACA